CUCGUGUCGUGAGAUGUUGGGUUAAGUCCCGCAACGAGCGCAACCCUCGUCCUUAGUUGCCAUCAUUUAGUUGGGCACUCUAAGGAAACCGCCGGUGAUAAGCCGGAGGAAGGUGGGGAUGACGUCAAGUCCUCAUGGCCCUUACGCGCUGGGCUACACACGUGCUACAAUGGCGGUGACAGUGGGCAGCAAUCUCGCAAGGGUGAGCUAAUCUCCAAAAGCCGUCUCAGUUCGGAUUGUUCUCUGCAACUCGAGAGCAUGAAGGCGGAAUCGCUAGUAAUCGCGGAUCAGCAUGCCGCGGUGAAUACGUUCCCAGGCCUUGUACACACCGCCCGUCACACCAUGGGAGUUGGAUUCACCCGAAGGCAGUGCGCUAACCGCAAGGAGGCAGCUGACCACGGUGGGUUCAGCGACUGGGGUGAAGUCGUAACAAGGUAGCCGUAGGGGAACCUGCGGCUGGAUCACCUCCUUU
rnacentral:rRNA from 1 species